rnacentral:rRNA from 1 species
UGAGGAAUAUUGGGCAAUGCCCGCAAGGGUGACCCAGCAACGCCGCGUGGAGGAUGAAUGUCGUAAGAUUGUAAACUCCUGUUAGAGGGGAAGAAUAGUACCGGUUGGACCGGUAUAUGACUGUACCCUCAGAGAAAGCCCCGGCUAACUACGUGCCAGCAGCCGCGGUAAUACGUAGUGGGCAAGCGUUGUCCGGAUUUACUGGGUGUAAAGGGCGCGCAGGCGGGAUAAAAAGUCAGUGGUGAAAUCCUACAGCUUAACUGUAGAACUGCCUUUGAUACUUUUAUUCUUGAGUUCGGGAGAGAGAGACGGAAUUCCAGGUGUAGUGGUGAAAUACGUAGAUAUCUGGAAGAACACCAGUUGCGAAGGCGGUCUCUUGGUCCGACACUGACGCUGAGGCGCGAAAGCGUGGGGAGCAAACA